UCCUUUAUUAGAAGACCGCAAGACCCUAAGAUGUUGGGAAUUCUUAAAUUGGCACAACCUUUUAUUAAACCUAGUUCAAUUUUAGUCAAAUUUGGUUUCGGUCUCCGCAUCAUAUUCCCCCAAUGGAGAGUAUUUAGAAGGAAAGGAUUUUGGCGAUACUUGGAGAUUGAAGAAUACGGGAAAAGGGAUGCAAGAUAUUGGAAGAACAUUGAUAUGGGGUUCAGACUCUUGGAAAAUACUGAUGCAACUGAUGAUAUGAGACAUAUGUUGAUGAUAUCAGUUGGAUCUGAAUGGAAAGAAUGGAAGCAUGAAGCAAAAAGAUGUGGUUUGAACCAUAUGGUACUGAUAUUGAGCGCUUAGCUCAUCGUUCGAACAUGGUUGAAGAAAAUCAGUGGCGUUCAUUAGUUCAUUAUUGGAGCUCAAAUGCUGCAAAGUGAAUUGUGUCACUAAAUAAAUAUCGCCGUAUCCUUACUUUCUUGUAGUUACUCAUUAUCAUCAAUUUCAAUUGUUCACACAAAUAAGGUGAGUUUGAGCAUUGUGUACUAGUUAAUCAUCAAAGUUGUGAGUUUAAUUGCUCAGGUGUUGUGAUCUUAUUUUUUAAGCAAAAUAUGUGAAAGUUAGUUGUUGAUAUAUUGGAUAUGUAGCAAAUUUUGUACUAUGGCUACAACCUGUUUGAGCUGUAGUGCAAACUGAUUUUGGACAGUUGUUUUUACCUCACUUAGAAUGCAUUUAGUGGAAAACUACCUUUCCUACCCAUCUCCAUCAUUUCUUUAUUUCUCUUACAAAUGCAAUAAAUGCAAUCUUAUAUCAUCAUCAGAUUCGUUGUAUUUAUUUUUGUAUGUUUUGUUGUUUGGAGAUUUGAGAAUAUCUUAUAACUUUGUGAAACUCAAUUCUUUUGGUUAUUAUCUUUCCAGUAUGAGUUAUGAGUAGGCUAAUUUUGUCUUGGCUUAUUUCUUUAUAAUUUUUGCCUCUUCUGGUUUGGUUUGGUGAAAGUUCUGUCACUGUUUGGUUGAAGUAUGCUUAAUUCUAGCUUUUUUUAAAAUUGAAAUUUACUUGUCUGUUAGCAUUUUAAGAAUUGAUGAGUUUGUACUGGAUGAUAUCUUUGUGAUUUGUAAAUAGUGGAGCUUUUAGUUUAGAAGAACUUUUACAAUGGUGUCAGAGAAGAAAAUCUAGUAUAAAGGUGUUGUCAUAUGUAUUCAGUGUUGCCUCUAGACUUCUGCUUAUAAGUUAAAGUUGUUAUGCUAUUUUUGUGGAAGUGUGCAACAUUCUAGGGCUAUAUAGGCUUUGUCUUGUUGUUCGUAUCUUGUAUUCUACAAUCAAUUUUGAAUUCUAUAAACUAUCAAAGUAACCUUUCUAAUAUUUUUUUCUCAAGUUAACAAAAUUAAAAAGAACGAAACUAAUGAACUUGGGACCAAAAAGAGAAGUGGGUUAGUUCGGAAAAACAUGCAGCACAUAUGGUAUUUUUUCAGCUUUAUUACAUAGUUGUAAUUCUCCUUUAAUGUGAUUCUUUUGCAGAACUUCUGAACGAUGUAAGAUCAAUUAUUAGAAUACUUGACUUGUGGAAAGAUGUAUCCAUAAAGCCUUGUUGCAGAAUUUAUUCUAGAAGUUAAGGGAAUUCAUUCAGAUUAGGAUUGAAUUUGACAUAGUUCCAUGUUACAAUUACUUUUAUCUUUUAUGAUUUAGUUAGAACUAAGUUUUAUUUGAGAUAUAACAGGUCAUUGAGUUGAACUCUAACUUGUA